rnacentral:rRNA from 1 species
GCUACGGCCACACUGCCUAGUUCACGCCCGAUCUCGUUUGAUCUCGGAAGCUAAGAUAGGUGGGCCUGGUUAAUACUUGAAUGGGAGACCCCCUGGGAAUACCAGGUGCUGUAAGCU